ACAUAGCCCCGAUUGUAGUGGAAAUCCUUUUUUGAAAAAAAAGAUUGCAACGGAAAGCGGGUGGGACA
rnacentral:sRNA from 1 species